UACGUAGGGUCCGAGCGUUGUCCGGAAUUACUGGGCGUAAAGCGCGCGUAGGCGGCUUUGUAAGUUAGAGGUGAAAGCCCGAAGCUCAACUUCGGAAUUGCCUUUAAGACUGCAUCGCUUGAAUCCAGGAGAGGUGAGUGGAAUUCCGAGUGUAGAGGUGAAAUUCGUAGAUAUUCGGAAGAACACCAGUGGCGAAGGCGGCCAACUGGUCCGGUACUGACGCUGAGGUGCGAAAGCGUGGGGAGCAAACAGG
rnacentral:rRNA from 1 species